rnacentral:rRNA from 1 species
UACAGAGGGUGCGAGCGUUGUUCGGAAUUACUGGGCGUAAAGGGCUCGUAGGCGGCCAACUAAGUCCGACGUGAAAUCCCCAGGCUUAACCUGGGAACUGCGUCGGAUACUGGAUGGCUUGAAUUCGGGAGAGGGAUGCAGAAUUCCAGGUGUAGCGGUGAAAUGCGUAGAUAUCUGGAGGAAUACCGGUGGCGAAGGCGGCAUCCUGGACCGACAUUGACGCUGAUGAGCGAAAGCUAGGGGAGCAAACGGG